GGGAGCACUGGACUAGGAGUCAGAAGGUGGAGUUCUGGGUACUGUUUCCCUCUGUUGGGCCCUGGGCAUGUUCUG
rnacentral:miRNA from 1 species